CAAUAGCGUAUAUUAAAGUUGUUGCGGUUAAAAAGCUCGUAGUUGGAUUUCUGUUGAGGACGGCCGGUCCGCACUAUGUGCGUGUAUCUGGUUCGGCCUCGGCAUCCUCUCGAAAGCCGUUUCUGCGCUUGAUUGCGUGGUUCGGACUUCGGGACUUUUACUUUGAGGAAAUUAGAGUGUUCACGGCAGGCAAGCGCCUUGAAUAUAUUAGCAUGGAAUAAUAAUAUAGGAUCUUGGUCCUAUUUUGUUGGUUUCUAGGGCUAAGAUAAUGAUUAAUAGGGACAAUUGGGGGCAUUCGUAUUAACGCGUCAGAGGUGGAAUUCUUGGAUUGCGUUACGACGAACUACUGCGAAAGCAUUUGCCAAGGAUGUUUUCAUUGA
rnacentral:rRNA from 1 species